AAAGUCUUGCUUAAGAAUGCUCCGAGCACCUGACUGUAGAAGGUAGAAUAGAAAAUACAACAACAAAAUCCUAACUAUAAUAGAAUACUAAUUAAACUCUAAUUAGACCAUAAUAAUGCUAAGCAAGCUUUAAUCAAAUUCAAAAAAACCUCAAAGAAAUUUCAAAGAAACAAUAAGAAAUCUUAGAAUGAUUACAAAUAUCUCUCAAAUAUAUCUCAAUUCAAUCUUAAUUUAAUUCUAGUUAAAAUCCUAUUGGACUUCAUUCAAACUUUAGGCCAAAAUUAAUUAAAUCUUAAACCCUAAUAAAAUCCUAAACCCUAAAUCAAACCCUAAAUCCUAAACCAAAUCCUAAACAAACCUUAAAUCAAACCCCAAUUAAAUCCUAAAUCAAACCCUAAACCCUAAAUCAAAUCCUAAUCAAACCCUAAACCAAAUCCUAGACAAACUCUAAAACAAAUCCUAAAUCCUAAAUGAAACCCUAACCAAACUCUAAAUCAAACCCUAAAUCAAAUCCUAAACCAAACCCUAAUCAAAUCCUAAUCAAAUCCUAACCCUAAAUCAAAUCCUAAAUCUAAACCAAACCCCAACCAAAUCCUAAAUCAAAUCUUAACCAAACCCUAAUCCAAACCCUAACCAAAUCCUAAUCCUAAAUCAAAUCCUAAUCAAAUUCUAAACCAAAUCCUAAUCCUAAAUCAAAUCCUAACCAAACUCUAAAUCCUAAACCAAUCCCUUACCAAACCUUAGUAAUUUCUAUAACAGAUUUAAACCUCAAUACCUAAUGAAUAAACCAUUGAUCUUAACUCAAAUUUUGCAAACUUCUUAAAAAAUAAUUUGAAAACAAGCACAAAAAAUUUGAAAAGGAUCGGAAUUACCAAAUAGACAAUAACUUCAAAAAUGUCCUUGGGUAUUGGCUAGCCUCCUUCUUCUACCUUGAUGCCAAUCUUUCAAAGCCAAUAUCUCUCCUUUCCAUUGUUUGAUUGAUCUCAAAAUUCUCAUACACAUAGAAAAACAAGUCUUAUAUCCUCUCACACAAAUUUCAUUCCAAUCCAACUAAUAGAUUGCAAGAAAUCUUAAAAACCCUCACUAGACCUAAAAUUCUAUUUUUUGAGACCUUGACCCUUUUAAACCUCAAUAACCCUUAAUUCAACUAUUAGAUCA
rnacentral:lncRNA from 1 species